CUCUCCCCUCUCUCUCUCUCUCUCUCUCUCUCUCUCAACUUUUCAUGCCCUUUUUGGAGAUACGUGUGCAUGGCAUGUGGCUUUGGGUUUGCAUCGAAGAAACAACCAUGGCAUCGUACAAACCUUGUUACGGUUUCAUGACACUUUAAUAGGGAUGGCAAUUGGAUCAGAUUGGAUAUAUAAUAGAUCAAAAAUCUACCGAUCUGAACUCAAUCUAUUUAUUAGAU
rnacentral:lncRNA from 1 species